CAGUCCUGCGGGGGCGGGAGGGGGGUUGGGCUGUGGCCCCGGGCUCCGCCAACCCUCCGUGCCUCGGGGCACCUGCCGGUCCCCCUCCCACCGGAUCUGGCCGAGUACCUCCUCUAAGGGACCUCCCCUCAGCGUCCAGCCCGUGGGCAGUCUUUCCCGACCCCAGCCCCUGGGGUGCUGGAGGGAGAGGCACCGUGUGCUGGGCCUUUGACUGGGAGGCUGGGCUGCUCCCCCUCCCCUUUCCCCCCCCCCCGCCUCCUCCUCCCCCUCCCCCCCCUCCCCUAGUCCUGCAGGUGCCCCAGCCUCAGGCCCCAUCUGGCUGGGUCCCUCCUCUCAGAUCCCCGCAGACAGCGAAAGCUGGGGGCCGACGGGCCGUGCUGUGGUGGGAGGGGGGCCUCCCUCCGCCCACCAGGAGGGACAGAGGAGGCAGCAAGGGGAGCUGCCGAAGCCCCCCGAGGAGCCCCGGUCCCCGUACCUCGAAGAAGAAGCGCAGCAUGAGGGCCAGCGCACCGAAGCAGAGGCCGGGGCCUAUCUGCUGGGUGUAGACACUCUUGUCGGGGUAUAGACACUUCUUCUCCUUCAUCUGCUGCAGCUGCGGGGAGAGCGGCCGGGCAGGGGUCACCCGGCAGGGAGGCCGUUCAUGGCUGGCUGGAGAGCUGGCCCCAGGCACCCACGUGUCCCUUGGCUACCCUCGGGCCGGGGGAUGGGGCUCAGGGAGGUGCCCUGCGUGCCUGGUCCUGCGGCGGCAGGCCCCAAGGGAGCCCCAUCCUGGAUGGCUUGGUUGGGAACCCCUGGACCAGUGUGCCCAGUGAGGACCGCCCCCAUCCCUGCCUGCCUCUUUGGGCUAACAAGAUAACCCUUGCACACACACCCCUGCUGGGCAGCGGGGACCCCCAGGGGACCAGACUCAGCGAGGGGGUAUUGGAGGGCUUACCCCGCCCACCAUGUGGCCCACAGGGAUGCCCGUGUUGGGGUCCGACAGACCCUUCAGUGGCUCGUGGAUCAGGACCCAUGGUAGUGCCCCUGAGACAAGCUGACCAGCGCAGGACUCUCUGCUUGCCCAGGUGUGCACGUUAGUGGGAGGCGUGAGCCGGCACUGACUCCUACAAGGAUGGGUUCACGCACACGGACAACACGCAGUAAAUGAGGGACCACACCCGGCACCUUCCAGCCCCUGGGGCCGAGGUGCCUCAGAGGGCCGCUGUUGGGGAUCUCAGCACAAUGCACGCCGUGGAUCGUGGACCCCUCCCCCGCAGGGCUGGGGCCCCCCACAGCCACAUACACCUGCUGCGGGGGAGCCCCGUGCCAGUCGGGGUGGGCUGGCCCACCAGAGUCUGGGUGCGGUUUUCUGGAAUUAGCCAUUGCUGAUAAAACAUCAGGCCCCGCGGGGGCGCAGACGGCAGGUGGGCGCGGUUGUGGGGUCUGGGUGUGGUUGGCCACGGCCCUGUGCCUGCCCAGGGUCCCGUCCUAGCCUGGCCCGGCCCGCGGCCCCCACACCCGCCUCUCUCUGCUUCCCCUCCCUGAGGGCUGCUGUUCCCAACUCGGGCUCGAGAAGGGACGAACCUCUGGGAGAAAAAUCCACCCUCAUCCUAGGGAGAAACUGCCCUUGAAAAUCCAAAAUAAACUCCAUGCUAAAUGGUCUGAAAAACACAAUUUGAGCCCCAGAUGUAGGGAGCCAGGCAGACCUCUUGGCUCCCGUGGCGGAUCCACAGCCCGAGGGCCGUGGAAGUCGCCGUGGUGCUUUCCACGGAAACUUGGCGAGUGGCUUCCAUUCUGGCUAAUUACAAUCAAACACAGAUCCAGGCCCGCCAAGUCCUGUGGGAGGAACAGCCCCCCGGGGCAGCCUGUCCUACUUCCUGCCGGGGAGCGAGCCUGCACUAUCGCAACCCGGGCUCUGUGUUUAUGCAUUCCGGCACGUUCAUUAACGCGGUCUCUCCCGGGACACGGCAGACCCAACAGGCCUCCCCCGCUCUCACGGGCAGCUCCGGGGGCCUCCUGGGUCAGCCUUCCCCCUUGGGGAGGCUGGAGGGAGAAAGAGGCUCCUUCCUUUCUCUUGGGAAGUCAAGGCCCGACUUCAGCCGGUGCCGCGUGACUUCUUGUUGCUUGCUGACCUCUGUGAGCCCUACUUCCCUCAUUAACUGAACGGCAGGACGAAUCCUCUACUCCCUGCUGUGGGAGAAGCAGGACUUUAUUUUCACUCCCGCAGCUGUAAAACGGGUUGAUGGACACCUUCUGCGCCACCUGCCCAGCCUGACCCCUGUUCCCAGAGAACGGCCCUCCCGCUCCCUAGGUGGCCUGAAACCCCUCCACCCCAUCCCCUGAGGCCCUGCCAUCUGGGCCUUAAUUUUGGGUCCUUGAGUGGGUGUGUGCCAGCACAUGGAGUUGGGACACCCCGAGAUUCCAGGUGGAGCUCCAAAGGGGCGAAAAUGUGGCAGAAGGAGGUCACCUUGGGGCCUGCGCUGCUGCAUGGCUGGAGAAUGGGUCCAGCCUCAGGCCGGCCAGCAGGCCGGGCCUGUGUUCUGGUCCCUGCAGGGUUCAGCUCUUUCCCUUCUGGGGUCCCAGGAAGUGCCCCUGGGUCCACUCUGCUCUGGCAUCCCUUGUCAGCUGGGGAAGCGUGGGUGGCUUUCAGGCCUCACAGCCAGGAGGGCCUUGGUACAAGAGAGCUGUGGGGAGGCCUGGGGACUGUGUGUCAGGACCCCCAGGGGACCCAGUGAAGAGAUGGCAGAGUUGCAAAGUCUGGCUCAGGCUGCCUCAUCGCUUAGGGGCUGUUCCAACUUCCUGUCCACUACACACCACAGCCUCCCUCCUCAAGGCUCUCCGCCUCCGUGAAGUCCUCCUAGAAUCAUCUAGGCUUUCGCAACUCUAAAGCAGUCAUUCUCUGCAAAGAGUAAUAAUGAUAGUGGCUGUUGCUCCCACGUGUCGAGCACAUUAGAAGCCAAGUUCUAUGCCAACACUUUCAGAUACAUUAACCCAACUUCUUUGAACCAAACCUCUGAAGCAGGUACUGAACUGUUCCUAUAACAGCCACUUUCCAGACAUGGAAACCAAGGCCCAGAAGUGGAGUCACUUGGGUUAGGUCCAGAGCUAGUGGGGACGGACGGCACAGACGGUCCGUGGGGCGGGGGGCCCGGUGUUCCCUGUCUCUGUGCUCUAGCGGAAGCCCCGAGACAGGGACAAACGGAGACCCCGAGGUGGAGGCGUCACGGGGGCGGGUGUCCCCGUCCUCCGAGGCGCGCAUGGUACGCACCCACUUUGUGGCAAUGAUGAGGACAGCCGUGCCGAUGGGGCCCGAGUACACCCCGUAGCCCCAGCGGUCAUGGUGGAUCCGCACCGCGAUGGUCAGGACGCCAAACAUCACGAAGGUCGACCUCUUGGGUUCGUCAAAGUCGGCCAGCGCUGUGGGUGGGGGAGGAGCCGGGAGGGGUGAGCAGCCCCUCGGCACCCCCCCCCCCGGCCACGGCUCCCCCAGACGCACCCCAGAGGCGCCCCAGCCAGAGAGACCCCCAGGGCCCAGCCCAGUCACCCUGAGGCCUGAGCUCCGGCUGGGUGUAAGGUACAGACGGGGACAGAGCUGCGUGGGGGUCACGGGCAGGGCAUGGCACACCUGCCCCUGAGAGCCCCAGGACCGAGGACAAAGACACGCAGGUAAGAGACAGGAAAGAUGCGGGUCCUUCACGGAACCUGGACAAGUACCAGGGAGCCCGCGCGACGGGGCCCGUGUGUCCUGACGUUGCCUGCAGACGGCGCUAAGUGAGAAGAAAGUUGCAGAAACUACGCUUUUGAGCAAUUCCAGCCUCGGAGAAGCCUGAGCUGACGGUGGUGGUGGGCCCGGCGGCUGGUAAGGGCCUCAAGAAACGCCCUGGGGGCAAACCCGGGUGUGCAACAGCGGUUUCCCAGGCGGGGGGAGCUGGAAGCCCCUCCACGGGUUCCAGGCCAGGCCCUGCCGCGUGAGGCGCUCCGGACAAGGCCUCGUUCACAUGGGGAUUGAGCCGGAGGCAGAGAUGGGGAUCGGGACGUUUAAAGACGGUGCGUCCUGUCUCAUCCAUUAAACCGGGCUUCGAAGCCCAGGAGAGGGCAGAGACGCUCCCGGUGCGGUGGGGGCAGUCAGAGGGCUCGGCUAUUUCUGGGAGCGGCAGGUGGAUGGUGGGGUAGGGACACUGGGCGACAGGGCGCGGCCACUCACCCAUCAGCGAGACCCACAUGCUCAGCGCGGUCCCGUAGACGCUGAAGUACUCCAGGACGUCGUGGCGCAUGAAGCAGACCACCGACAGGCCGGGCCCGUCGCAGGCGUGGUGCAGCUGCUGGGAAACCGCGGCGGUCAGCGGCUGGAGGGGACAGCACAGGCCCCAGCCGUGCCUGGCCCCUGCCACUCCCCGCCAGCCAGGCCACUCGCUAGCCGCGAGACUCAGGCAAGUCAUUUCGUGCCUCAGUCUCCCCACCUGAAAAAUGGAGGUGCCGCCAACCACUCCCCUCAUGGUGUCUUGUGGGGAUUCGACAAAACGUUCCCCUGAGGGGUUGGGAGCCUCGGAUGUGCUCAGAGCCCGGCCGGGCCUCUCCCGGUGCGUGUAUGACGUGACCACACGGAGUCCAGGCAUCAGUCCGUGAAGCCCGCCGAGGUGGGGACCCCGAAGACGCGCCCUGCAAGUUCCUUCAGCACCUGAGUUUACUCAGAGCAGGGACGAGAAUACCCGCUCUCGGGGACGGGCCGGGGGACUCCGUGUGAUGGGGCAGAUGGCACCGUGUUGGACACAGAAGUAGCGACUGCGGCAGGAGGCUUCUGGCCAGAACACGGAAGAAGCCACAUUGGAGGCAGAAAGGACCUGCCCGCCCAGGGCUGCCCCGAGGACCCCGACCCUCGCCCACAGAGGCCUGGCUGCUGGAGCAAGGCCAGCCGGCGGUGGGAGCCGUGCGAGCUUUCACAUGUCUGGCGCUGCCACAAGGCCGUGGCUGGGGGAACGCUCGCCUCCCUGGUGCAAGCUUCUUGCGGGGAGCCAGGCUGCAGAGAAGGGCAGGUGAUGGAGAGAUGACCCCUUCCCUGUGUCCCUGUGCCUUUGGGCGAGUGGCCCAGACUCACCGCUACAAAGAACAUGGUGAAGAGAGACCAGAGCUGUUGGUUCCAGGAGACCACACUUCUUUUCUUGCCUUCAACCUCGGCAACAACCUGGCAACAACCUCAGAGUAAAGUGGCCCUGAGUAGAACCCUCAGCUUGCAGCCUCUUUCUGUCCUGGCCCUCUCCCCCGGGCCCCAGGGAGCGGCCAGCGGUCUCUGCUGCUGGAGCCCCGUGUCUGCGGCGGCUGAAGGACAAGGUGUAGUCGAUUCUCGUCACCAAAGAGCCUCGCCGACCAGCACGGUGCUUUGCCAGCCCACGCCAGGUCCUGCCUGCUCUUUCCCCACCUGGGUUUCCUUGGCAACUGGACUAAUGAGACAGUGUUUUCUCCUCGGCUACCUUGUUUCGCAUCUGUAGCAAACGGCCGGGCCAUCCCUCUCUCCUGGGCUCCCAGGCGGAGGCCGUAGCUGGCGUGGCAGCCUCCCUCCGCUGGCCUUGGGGAAACCAAGGCCUCCCUUCCUUUGUUGUAAGAGGUUUUAGGGGCACUGUCUGGCAGGGUGUCCCCUGUCCUCUGGCCUAGGAAUGAUGGCGGUGGUGAGCUACCCAGGCAGACUCUCUCCUCCAGCCUGAUCGCUUGUCUCCUGGCUGGUCUGCUUUCUGCCCGAGAACCCUCUUUAGUUCGACUCUUUUUUCAUCCUGAUAUAGUUCACAUACGACAAAGUGCACGGUUGGAUGAGUUCUGACAAGUGCACAUAGCGAUGGGACCACUGCGUCUCCCCAUCAGCCUAGGGUGAGCCCUCACGCCCUUGGCCAGCAUAAGCAAGCGCUGCUCUGUCGCACGCCUGACUUGGCCUGUUCCAGAAUUCCGCACAGAUGGGACCAUGUGGUGUGCGU